UACGGAGGGUGCAAGCGUUAAUCGGAAUUACUGGGCGUAAAGCGCACGCAGGUGGCUGAGAAAGUCGAUUGUGAAAGCCCUGGGCUUAACUCGGAACGGUCAGCUGAUACUGUUUUGCUAGAGUGCAGAAAGGGCAACCGGAAUUCUUGGUGUAGCGGUGAAAUGCGUAGAUAUCAGGAGGAACACCCGUAGCGAAGGCGGCACUCUGGGCCGAUUCUGACACUGAGGUGCGAAAGCGUGGGGAGCAAACAGG
rnacentral:rRNA from 1 species